rnacentral:rRNA from 1 species
UGGGGAAUAUUGCACAAUGGGCGAAAGCCUGAUGCAGCGACGCCGCGUGAGGGAUGACGGCCUUCGGGUUGUAAACCUCUUUCAGCAGGGACGAAGCGCAAGUGACGGUACCUGCAGAAGAAGCACCGGCUAACUACGUGCCAGCAGCCGCGGUAAUACGUAGGGUGCAAGCGUUGUCCGGAAUUACUGGGCGCAAAGAGUUCGUAGGCGGUUUGUCGCGUCGUUUGUGAAAACCAGCAGCUCAACUGCUGGCUUGCAGGCGAUACGGACAGACUUGAGUACUGCAGGGGAGACUGGAAGUCCUGGUGUAGCGGUGAAAUGCGCAGAUAUCAGGAGGAACACCGGUGGCGAAGGCGGGUCUCUGGGCAGUAACUGACGCUGAGGAACGAAAGCGUGGGUAGCGAACAGG